UUUUUUUGUAAUCUAUUUCAUUGUCUAAAUUUAAAGUAAACAAUACUAUAAUAUAUGAUCAAAUACAUUAAGUUAACAAGCACUAUAACAUUUAUAGUGCCCACAUUCAACGAUUAUCAGUUGGACCGAAAGCCAUAAAUUGAAAAAAAAAAAGAAGAUAUUUAAUGAGCUUAAAGAUGAAAAAUAAAAAUUAACAAAAUUUAAACGACUAGUGAAGAAAUUAACCAAGCCGAGAUGAAAAACAGAAAUAGAAGGCCACUAUAAGCCAAACAUUACAAAUCAGGUUGCUUUUUAAGACAUGAACCCAGUUUCCAAUUACAAUACUUUGCAAUUCUUUCGCUUUUUAAGACAUGAACCCAGUUUCCAAUUACAAUACUUUGCAAUUCUUUCAAAAAAAAAGGUUUCCCAAUUACUAAAUCUUUUUAGGUUUGAAGUGGAUUGAUAAUUAAAUUGACGAAAGAAAGGAAAGUGGAGCAAAAAUUAGAUUCAAGUAUAGGUCAAGUAAAAAAGUAAAAGAUAAAAAUCAAAUUCAGUGCAAGCCUGGGUUUCAAACGAUUAGCAAAAUUACCAAAAGAAAGCCUAAGACUGUCAGGCCCAACUGAAUCACUCAAUUGAUAUCGAUUCCAUCGAGGGUGCCAAUGAAAAAACAAACCUUGAAAAAGAAAAAUCUCGAAAUACUCAACCAAAUACUUGGUUAUCUAACUACAGCCUCUUGACGCUACAUACCAAAAGCCAGAUACCAAGCAAAACUAAAACUUAAUUUUGUCGACAACGGACCAAAAACUGAAUAAUUGACCAUUUCACUUGACUUAGAUAGCUUUGUCACCCUUGAUUUAUCGGAUGCUCAAUUUUGAACAGACCCAAGCUGAAAAGUCCAGAGAUAUAAAGACUAACAACAUCUUACUCUAAAUUCAAGGGAAGCAGGUUUGUUAAAAUUAUAUGAUCAUCUAGAAAACAAGAGUUCUUACUUGAUAUAAAAUUGCUCUUCUAGUAGAAGAUCCAACAUAUUCUUCAAGAUAUUCCUGCACCCCAGGCACUUGUUGAGCAACAGUCUCCAACGCCUGUUGUGCAUUCUGGUGAUCAGCAAAGGCUUCUGAUUGUGGGGGCAGAGGAUUUGAUGUAGGCCUAUCAACAUCCUGUAAAGGAAGUAAUAACGUAGAAAGUUUAAUUUUUGCCAUAACCGAAGAGAAUGGGCAUCCUGAAAUAAAGUAGAAACAAGCCUAACAUAGCUGUCAAUAGAGUCAAAAUUACCUCUUUUUUACUUAGUGGGUUCGCAUCCUUCUUCGGAACUCUGACCUUUUUCUUCCUGAUAAUAAUCUCAUUUCCUUGCCAUAUAAUUUCUGCAGGCCCUUCUUCAACAGAUUCCCAAUCAUCAUCCUCAUCACAUUCAUUCUCCUUUCGCCUCCAAAUUCGCGAUGCUCCGAGAACACGCCGUAGCUGGUGAGCAAGCGGAGGAUACGUUGCAAGUUCUCGGCGUCCCCACCGCCAGAUGGGAGGAUAUGUGUCAAGACCUGGGAGGCGGAGAGAGGGGUGUUGGCCCCACCUUGCCAGAUGGCAUCCGGUACGUGGAGACGGAUGGCAGCGGUUAGAGACAUGGGAACACUUAUCAUGUUGGUCAGCUCCAUUAUGGCCAGUCUUACCUUAUUCCCGCCAUCUCUGCACUCGUUAUCUUCCAUUACUGCUUACUGACCUUUGAUUUCGCAGCACCAUGCCGGCCAAACAAAAAGAUAAGACCUGAGCACUUUUUGACAAUUUGGAUGUUAGGGAUUUUUCAAAUCUGGGGAGCUUAGGAGGGAAUGAAUACUUUGGUAGAGGGAGUUGAAAAGUUGUAUUUCGGAUAAGAUAAGACUUGUCUAUUUGUUUUGUUUUUAUCCAUUUAAAAAGCAUAAUUUUAAAAAAAUUAAAAAUAAUUUGAAGGCUAGUGGUUUUUUUGAUUCAAUGUAGAAACUCUAAGUUUAAGAGGUCUUGGGUUCAAAUUCAGACUAAAAUAAAAUUAAAAUGAUAAUUUUUAAUUGUUAAUAUCUAAGUGUCAGUGAUCGUUAUUACUAAAGUUAUUGAUACUUCAGUAUUAAUAAUUAGUGAUAUAUAUCUAUUAAACGUAAAAAAUGAUUCAAAUAUAUAUAUAUAUUGAUAUUUUUAAAUAAAAUAUCAGAACACAAAUAUCAAUAAAGACUAUUUUUUAAUAGUGAACGGUACGAUAUUCCGUCUUGAUACUAGGAUGAAAAGCUCCAGAAGAGUGAUCUGCACAUUUCCACAAUCAUUUUUACAAGCAAAUUGUUUUUAUGCUUUGAUGGACCAGAAUAACAAAAUGAUCUGCAACAACACCAGAUAAUAUUGAUGAACAGUGGAUCGCUUGCAUUUGCUACCUUUUCUCGUUCGUCCUAAAGAUUUGGAAAAUGGAGAUUUAGUUUAGUGAAUCUUAAGUCUUGAUUAAUAAUAAAAUGAGUAAGACUGUUUGCGCUCUAAACAUUAUUCUAAACACUCUAUUAUUUUAUAUAUUUAUAUGUUAAAUUUUAAUACGUACAUUUUUUAAAAUAUAAAAAAAUUCUUAUUUAAAUCAUUUAAAUUUAUUUAUUUAACCAUUCAGCCACCCAAGAAAAUCUAUUAAAAAUAUUUAGGGCAUACUUAUAGCAAUAAAAUCAAAGCCCUGUUUGGCGGCGCAACUAUCCUAAAUGGGCCAGUUAAGCUAUAAACAAUUUAUUUGGCACAAUGUCAGUGUUAGUUUUUAUUUGUUAAAAAUUAUGUUCAAUAUUAAGCAUAUAGACUUUAUUUGCCCUCAAGAACAUUAAAAAAAAUAAAUAAAAAAAGAAGAAGAAUUUCAAAAGAUGCUUGAUGCUCACUACUAGAAAAAUGAGUUUUACUGACACUAAUUUAGCGUCAGUAAUUACUUUUAUUGACACUUGUUAAUUGUGUCAGUGUUGCUCAAGCCAGAACACACUGACACUAAUUUUUGGUGUCAGUAAUUUUUGUGUCAGUAAUUUGUUUCACUAUAGUAUCACUAAAAUAAUGACACGAUGAUGUUGGUAUUUAAUGAUACUAUUUACACGUCAGUGAUUUAUGUGACUAUAGUAUCAGAAACUGACUCGAUAAUAUAAAAAAUUCUUAUUGUUAUUUUAAAUAUGUAGUGUCAGUAUUUAAUAAUGUUAAAUUUUCAACAUUAUUAAAUACUGACACUACAUAUUUAAAAUAACAUAAGUAUCAAAUUACAUUUUCAACAAUCUCUAAACAACAAGUGCUAACUACUACUCAAUUAAGUUUCCAACCCAAAAGAAAAAAAAAAAGCACAAGGUCACUCAAUAUCCAUCCACGGCUUCAUUUUUUUUCCCACCUACAAGUGCAUAAAAUCAAUUAGUAUACUGUGAAAAAUAAAUCUUAGUUAUUUUGAAGCAAAAAUACUCAUAAAUUACUUCAACAUGGAAGAGUAGGAUUAAAAGAAGCAAGUUAAGGAAUCAAAAAAAGAAAUUGUAGAAUCUACACGUUCCCAAGUUAAUUACAGCCUGCAAUCAUGAUACCACAAAUUGCUUCACCAAAAGUAUUCUAUCAAGUAUUAAAGAGAACACUUAAUAAGUACAUCAAUAUUCAGUAAUGAUGACAUGAACGAUGGUGUCUACAACUUGACAAGCAUAAGUUAUUUUUUUUGUAAUCUAUUUCAUUGUCUAAAUUUAAAGUAAACAAUGCUAUAAUAUAUGAUCAAGUACAUUAAGUUAACAAGCACUAUAACAUUUAUUUAGCCCACAUUCAACGAUGAUCAGUUGGACCGAAAGCCAUAAAUUGAAAAACAAAAGAUAUUUAAUGAGCUUAAAGAGGAAAAAUAAAAAUUAACAAAAUUUAAACGACUAGUGAAGAAAUUAACCAAGCCGAGAUGAAAAACAGAAAUAGAAGGCCACUAUAAGCCAAACAUUACAAAUCAGGUUGCUUUUUAAGACACGAACCCAGUUUCCAAUUACAGUACUUUGCAAUUCUUUAAAAAAAAAAGGGUUUCCCAAUUACUAAAUCUUUUUAGGUUUGAAGUGGAUUGAUAAUUAAAUUGA
rnacentral:lncRNA from 1 species